rnacentral:lncRNA from 1 species
AGCAGCAGCAUCUGUGAAUUUUCACAAAGUGGAGCUCCUGAAAGAGACCGGGCAAAUGGGAACUAAGGAGGAAAAAACGAAAGGCGGACACACUCAGUGACCUCUGGGGCAGGUGAGCGGUGGCCUCACCUGACACCCGCCCGCGGGGAUGCACCCAGCAUGAGGUAGGGAGCUCGAGGAAGCUGACUGUGGUUUGGACGUGGUUUGCCAUCUCCACCAAGUUCCAUGUGAAACGUGAUCCUCAAUGUGUUAGUGUUUGGAGGUGGGGCCUGGUGGGAGGUGUUUACAUCCUGGCAGGAGGUGUUUAUGUCCUGGGACUGAAUCCUUCUUUGUGAGGUAUUGAGUGUGGCUUCACUCUCAGAGACUGGACUGGCUCCCACUGGAACUGUUGUUACAAGGUGCAGAUUCUCCUUCUGCUUGGUCCUCUCCACAUCUGUUCACUUCUCCUCUGACCUUCUCCAUCAUGUUAUGACCCAGCUCAGAAACCCUCACA